rnacentral:rRNA from 1 species
CAGCAGCCGCGGAAUACGUAUGUCACGAGCGUUAUCCGGAUUUAUUGGGCGUAAAGCGCGUCUAGGUGGUUAUAUAAGCCUGAUGUGAAAAUGCAGGGCUCAACUCUGUAUUGCGUUGGAAACUGUAUGACUAGAGUACUGGAGAGGUAAGCGGAACUACAAGUGUAGAGGUGAAAUUCGUAGAUAUUUGUAGGAAUGCCGAUGGGGAAGCCAGCUUACUGGACAGAUACUGACGCUGAAGCGCGAAAGCGUGGGUAGCAAACAGGAUUAGAUACCCCCGUAGUCCCUGUCUCUUAUACAC